UCUUUGCAUGCUAGAAUAAUUUUUUUAAAUGAUUUUUGUUAAACCUUGAAUAUUUUGAAUUGUGCUGGGAUAGAUAUAUUUUAUAAUUUAGUAUCUUUUGCGUUAUUAAGCAACUUCUUAGUAUUUUGAUGGAACAAUGGUACCCUCCCCCAACCCUCGUCUAUGGAAUGACUUUUUUUCAGUUUUUGUCACAAAUUCUAUCAACUAGCAAUUUGGAUGACCAAGAAACUACAUCAGAAUGAUAGAUAAUGUAUAUAUAGGUUAGAACACUAACAACCUUUUGCCGACUAAAGGCUUGCGACUCGCCAGCAGAAGUGAGAUUGCUUCCUUGGUUCUCUCGUGUUCC